rnacentral:tRNA from 1 species
GUUUUAAUAGUUUAAUACAAAACCUUGGUCUUGUAAACCAAUAAUGGAAUCUUUUUCUUAAAACA